rnacentral:rRNA from 1 species
UCCUACGGGAGGCAGCAGUGGGGAAUUUUCCGCAAUGGGCGAAAGCCUGACGGAGCAAUACCGCGUGAGGGAAGACUGCCUAUGGGUUGUAAACCUCUUUUUUCAGGGAGGAAUCAAUGACGUGUACCUGAGGAAUAAGCAUCGGCUAACUCCGUGCCAGCAGCCGCGGUAAGACGGAGGAUGCAAGUGUUAUCCGGAAUCACUGGGCGUAAAGCGUCUGUAGGUGGUUUAAUAAGUCAACUGUUAAAUCUUGAGGCUCAACUUCAAAAUCGCAGUCGAAACUAUUAGACUAGAGUAUAGUAGAGGUAAAGGGAAUUUCCAGUGGAGCGGUGAAAUGCGUAGAUAUUGGAAAGAACACCGAUGGCGAAAGCACUUUACUGGGCUAUUACUAACACUCAGAGACGAAAGCUAGGGUAGCAAAUGGGAUUAGAUACCCCAGUAGUCCUAGCCGUAAACAAUGGAUACUAGAUGUUGAACAGAUCGACCUGUGCAGUAUCAAAGCUAACGCGUUAAGUAUCCCGCCUGGGAAGUAUGCUCGCAAGAGUGAAACUCAAAGGAAUUGACGGA